GACGAACGCUGGCGGCGUGCUUAACACAUGCAAGUCGAACGGAAAGGCCCUGCUUUUGUGGGGUGCUCGAGUGGCGAACGGGUGAGUAACACGUGAGUAACCUGCCCUUGACUUUGGGAUAACUUCAGGAAACUGGGGCUAAUACCGGAUAGGAGCUCCUGCUGCAUGGUGGGGGUUGGAAAGUUUCGGCGGUUGGGGAUGGACUCGCGGCUUAUCAGCUUGUUGGUGGGGUAGUGGCUUACCAAGGCUUUGACGGGUAGCCGGCCUGAGAGGGUGACCGGCAACAUUGGGACUGAGAUACGGCCCAGACUCUUACGGGAGGCAGCAGUGGGGAAUAUUGCACAAGGGGCGGAAGCCUGAUGCAGCAACGCCGCGUGCGGGAGGACGGCCUUCGGGUUGUAAACCGCUUUCGCCUGUGACGAAGCGUGAGGGACGGGAAUGGGGAAAGAAGCACCGGCUAACUACGU
rnacentral:rRNA from 1 species